AGCGAACGCUGGCGGCAGGCUUAACACAUGCAAGUCGAGCGCCCCGCAAGGGGAGCGGCAGACGGGUGAGUAACACGUGGGAACGUACCCUUUGGUUCGGAACAACCCAGGGAAACUUGGGCUAAUACCGGAUACGUCCGUAAGGAGAAAGAUUUAUCGCCAAAGGAUCGGCCCGCGUCUGAUUAGCUAGUUGGUGAGGUAAUGGCUCACCAAGGCUACGAUCAGUAACUGGUCUGAGAGGAUGAUCAGCCACAUUGGGACUGAGACACGGCCCAAACUCCUACGGGAGGCAGCAGUGGGGAAUAUUGGGCAAUGGGGGCAACCCUGAUCCAGCCAUGCCGCGUGAGUGAUGAAGGCCCUAGGGUUGUAAAGCUCUUUUAGCAGGGAAGAUAAUGACGGUACCUGCAGAAAAAGCCCCGGCUAACUUCGUGCCAGCCGCCGCAGUAA
rnacentral:rRNA from 1 species